rnacentral:rRNA from 1 species
GAUGAACGCUGGCGGCGUGCCUAAUACAUGCAAGUCGAGCGAACGGACGAGAAGCUUGCUUUUCUGAUGUUAGCGGCGGACGGGUGAGUAACACGUGGAUAACCUACCUAUAAGACUGGGAUAACUUCGGGAAACCGGAGCUAAUACCGGAUAAUAUUUUGAACCGCAUGGUUCAAAAGUGAAAGACGGUCUUGCUGUCACUUAUAGAUGGAUCCGCGCUGCAGUAGCUAGUUGGUAAGGUAACGGCUUACCAAGACAACGAUGCAUAGCCGACCUGAGAGGGUGAUCGGCCACACUGGAACUGAGACACGGUCCAGACUCCUACGGGAGGCAGCAGUAGGGAAUCUUCCGCAAUGGGCGAAAGCCUGACGGAGCAACGCCGCGUGAGUGAUGAAGGUCUUCGGAUCGUAAAACUCUGUUAUUAGGGAAGAACAUAUGUGUAAGUAACUGUGCACAUCUUGACGGUACCUAAUCAGAAAGCCACGGCUAACUACGUG